AGGGAUGAUGUCAUCACAUAUGGGCCAAGGUGGUAGAACUGGAGAGGAGUGAGUGGUCUGGAGAGAAAUUUCGGUUUCAUCUGCAGGGUGGGGGCUGUAAAAGAAAGGAGGAGGUGAAGAAUGAUAGAGAUGCCCAAGUUUUUGGCUUAGACAUCUUGGUGGACAGUGGUGCCAAUUAUUGAGAUGGUGAAAGGGGAACAGGCUGAGGAGUUCCCUGGAGACCAAUGCUCAUGGAAGAGGGGCAGGAGGCAGGAAUGGGCAGAGGGAGAAGAUGAGCACAGGCCCGGCAGUGGCCUUCGCCGGCUGGAUGAGGAACCCCAGUGCUGGACACACCUCUUCCAGAGCUGUCGUGAGUUGGGCUGAUGGCUCAUCCUUCAUCUCCC
rnacentral:lncRNA from 1 species